UACAGAGGGUGCGAGCGUUAAUCGGAUUUACUGGGCGUAAAGCGUGCGUAGGCGGCUUUUUAAGUCGGAUGUGAAAUCCCCGAGCUUAACUUGGGAAUUGCAUUCGAUACUGCUUGACUAGAGUACGGUAGAGGGCAGUGGAAUUUCCUGUGUAGCGGUGAAAUGCGUAGAUAUAGGAAGGAACACCGGAGGCGAAGGCGGCUUACUGGCUCGGAACUGACGCUGAGGUGCGAAAGCGUGGGGAGCAAACAGG
rnacentral:misc_RNA from 1 species